CAAGAUGGCCAAAAGUCUACUCCGCGAUGCCCUUUCCUUUCGAAUCGACCUCCUCGCGCGUCGAAUCUUGCCAAAACCACAAGGAAUAUAUUACAAUAGGCUAAGGGAAUAUAACCCAAUCAAAAAGACUCAAAAAAUAUCGAAAAUCACGAAAUUUGCAAAACUCGAGCCCCGGACCCACUUCUCGAAAAAUUACGAAAGUCACAUCACCGGUUUCCUCGUCUUGCCACGAGUCCGUACAUAUAAAAUUUACCAAAAUCAGAGUUCAUUUGACCCCUCAAAUCACCAAAUCUUAUUUUCAAAUCCCUAGGCCUAAAUCCUCAAUUUUUUCUACAAUUUUCAUGCUCAAAUCCAUACAUAAUUGAUGUACUUAACUCAAAAUAGGUGGGGAUAACUUACCUUUACAUUGAUGAUGAAAAUCCCCUCUUGAAGCUCCCCAAAAAUCAUCCAUACUUUGAAGAAAUGAAGAAAAGUGAGCUAAAUCCGUGUAUAAAAGAAUCUGUCUGUGCUUCGUCGAGUUGUACCUUGCACUUGUGCUAUACAAGUUGUACAUCUUAUUAAAAUUGU
rnacentral:lncRNA from 1 species